UAGUAGCUGGGUAUAGCAGGGCAUU
rnacentral:piRNA from 1 species